UGUUAUUCAGAAUUUUAAAGUUUUGGUUUUUCUCGACCCAAUCCUCCACCAUUCACAGUUGCUCCGCAUACUUUCUUAUAGUCACGUGAUUAAAUGGAAUGAAACAUGGAAAGAUGGCGGAAUUCCAGUGGAAUAGUAAUUCAUAGAGAUGCCUUAGUAAGGUUUUAUUUUCAUUCCUUUUGAACUUUUUAAAUCAUUCAGUCAUGCAGAAGAACGUGAAAACAAAGAACGUGUUCCUAUCUGGUGCUUUACAAAGAAUUCUACUCGAUAAAGAAACAAAAAAGUCUCAUCAUUCACAACUAAAGAAAGCUUGCGAAACGGCUUUAGAGGAAAUAAACGCUGUUCAAGGAAAUGAAAAAUCUACAGGUUGGCUUGUCAAACAAAAUGUGCCAGGAUUGUCACCAUUG